UCUUCGUCGCGUCUUCAGCCGGCUGUCCGCUCCGUCAAGCGCUCCUGCUGCUCAGGCGUGGAUCAGCGAGGAUGCGUCGACUCCACCUGGGAUCGGCCCAGUUUUAUUUUUCGCAGCAGUACUGGAAAAACAACCAAAGGCUUUCAGGGACUAAACCUCAUUGAACAUCACACAUGUGGAAGUGCACAAAUGUUCAAAAAGGUUCAACAACUUGGAAGCUGAUUGGCCCCACUAUCACUGCAGACGUGUCAGCCACAGUGGGCCUUUGCACCGUGUUUCUGACAGGGUGUUUUUAUCUGCAACAACAAAUUACAUUCUAAGGUAAACUGAAGUAAUAGAAACAAGAGCUGUUCUCACAAACAUCCGAGCACAUCCCAAACAAGGCCAAACGUUUACCUGUACCUUGUCUCCCGUCCACCAAUGAGGUUCUGGUUUAAUUUCCUACCUUAUAAGGUCAGAGAUUUCCAGAAAGAGAGAAGGCGCAGCGCUCUGGGGCGGAAGGAGGCGGGGUGUUUUGUUGCGAGGUCUCGCUGUGGUGUAACUUUCGUUUCGAGCCCUGUCUUUAGCCCCAGUCCCGCUGCUGUUAAAGACCUGACACACAUCAAAGAUGAGCAGAAAUGUAGGAGCAGCAGGUCGCAGCAUGAACGGAACAGACGGCACGCUGUGUGUAUUCAUAUCUUUGUGGGGACCAAAAGUUGGAAGUCUACUUUACUUGUGGGGACCAAAAUCCUGGUCCCCACAAGUUAAAGGCGUUUUGAGACUUUAGGGAAAUGGUUAAAUUGGGUGUUUGUUAAAUUUAGGGUUAUUGUUAGGCAUUCAUUUUUCAUAGUUAUGGUUAGGGAAACCAUUAUGUCAAUUAGAUGUUCCCACAAGAUAUGAAUACUUGACUGGUGUGUGUGUGUGUGUGUGUGUGUGUGUGUGUGUGUGUCUUUAACUGGUUUAACCUGUAGGCAAUGAAAUUAAGCAUACACACUUAAAGUCAGGAUUACUGUGAAUAGAUUUGUCCCACCUGGUGGAUGAAAGGAAUCCUUAAAUGUUUUACACAUAACCCUUCACUGUAAAUGCCUUCAUUAAAAUACCUCUGAAAAAAACCUCUUUAAGAUCCCCACAUCUAAUUAAACUACAUCUGACUCAGCACACAACAUAUUACAGAGAACUGUGAAAUUCAUUAUUAACACUUUAUUUUUCU